rnacentral:miRNA from 1 species
UAGUUUUUUGCAUUUUUCCCACACAAAUAUGAAUAUUUGUGUGGGAAAAAUGCAAAAAAUUA